UACGUAGGAGGCGAGCGUUGUCCGGAAUUACUGGGCGUAAAGAGCGCGUAGGCGGCGCCGUACGAUUGGUGUGAAAGCCCCCCGGCUCAACUGGGGAGGGUCACCGAUAACGGCGGUGCUCAGAGUGCAGGAGAGGGAAGUGGAACUCCGGGAGUAGCGGUGAAAUGCGUAGAUACCCGGAGGAACACCGGUGGCGAAGGCAAUCCCCUGGGCCUGCACUGACGCUCAUGCACGAAAGCGUGGGGAGCAAACAGG
rnacentral:rRNA from 1 species